rnacentral:rRNA from 1 species
GUAGUCCUGGCUGUAAACGAUGUCGACUUGGAGGUUGUGCCCUUGAGGCGUGGCUUCCGGAGCUAACGCGUUAAGUCGACCGCCUGGGGAGUACGGCCGCAAGGUUAAAACUCAAAUGAAUUGACGGGGGCCCGCACAAGCGGUGGAGCAUGUGGUUUAAUUCGAUGCAACGCGAAGAACCUUACCUGGUCUUGACAUCCACGGAAGUUUUCAGAGAUGAGAAUGUGCCUUCGGGAACCGUGAGACAGGUGCUGCAUGGCUGUCGUCAGCUCGUGUUGUGAAAUGUUGGGUUAAGUCCCGCAACGAGCGCAACCCUUAUCCUUUGCUGCCAGCGGUCCGGCCGGGAACUCAAAGGAGACUGCCAGUGAUAAACUGGAGGAAGGUGGGGAUGACGUCAAGUCAUCAUGGCCCUUACGACCAGGGCUACACACGUGCUACAAUGGCGCAUACAAAGAGAAGCGACCUCGCGAGAGCAAGCGGACCUCAUAAAGUGCGUCGUAGUCCGGAUUGGAGUCUGCAACUCGACUCCAUGAAGUCGGAAUCGCUAGUAAUCGUGGAUCAGAAUGCCACGGUGAAUACGUUCCCGGGCCUUGUACACACCGCCCGUCACACCAUGGGAGUGGGUUGCAAAAGAAGUAGGUAGCUUAACCUUCGGGAGGGCGCUUACCACUUUGUGAUUCAUGACUGGGGUGAAGUCGUAACAAGGUAACCGUAGGGGAACCUGCGGCUGGAUCACCUCC